GCUGGCAUCCUACAAAAACCGGGUAAUUAAACCCUAAACUUCUCAAAAUGUCCCAAAUCUCAGUCGCUGCAAACAUCUAAACCCUAGCUAAAACCCUAAUAUCUCCGACAACUCUAUCCUUCAUUCAUUCACUCUUCUCUGCAAAUUAUUCUUCAAUUCUUCAAUUGCUCAACUCCAUUUUGCACUUCCCAACUUCUGAACUUCAGUUUUUCCAUCAAUUAGGCAACAAAGAAAACCUAAAAAUCAACCUUCGGAAAAGAAAGAAGAAAAAAAGUUCGAGAAAAAUGGAGGUCGACAGAGUAGAUGGGCGUACGCCAACCAUGUUGAGGCCGUUGGCAUGUUCUAUAAAUGUCCUCAAUCGUGCUCAUGGAUCCGCCAGUUGGUCUCAAGGGGAUACCAAGGUUCUAGCUGCAGUUUAUGGACCAAGAGCCGGGACUAAGAAGAAUGAAAACCCGGAGAAAGCUUCAGUUGAAGUUAUUUGGAAGCCAAAAACAGGGCAAGUUGGGAAAUUGGAGAGAGAGUACGAGAUGAUAUUGAAGAGAACAUUACAGAGCAUUUGUAUAUUGACAGUCAAUCCUAAUACCACCACUUCUAUAAUUGUUCAGGUUGUCAAUGAUGAUGGUGCUCUUCUUCCUUGUGCAAUUAAUGCUGCUUGUGCUGCACUUGUUGAUGCUGGAGUUCCUCUGAAGCAUCUGGCUGUUGCGAUAUGUUGCUGUUUAGCUGAAACAGGAUGUGUCAUAUUGGAUCCUACAAAACAAGAAGAGCAGGAAAUGAAGGCAUUUGUCUAUUUGGUUUUUCCCAAUUCCAUGUUGUCGGUUCUACAAGGUUCAAGCCAUACAGAUGAUGAACCAAUGGAACAUGGAAUCAUCACAUCUGUUACUCAUGGAGCAAUGUCAGGGUGCAUCAUUGUCCUUGUCUCUGCUUAAUUUCUGUUAAUAUUUUGAGCUGAAAUUAACAGAGACAAUGUUUGUGUGCGAGUAUGAAUUCAACAAUGGGCUUCAAUCAAUUUGUUGAAGAUUAUUUUGACUGUCUCAAGAUCGGACGUGCAGCAACGGCAAAACUCUCUGGUUUUCUAAGAAGUCGCCUGCAAAAUCGGCUUCCUAGUGACUUGCUUGGGGAUAAUUGAUUUUUGGUAAGGUAAACUCUGUAAUUUACAUCCUUAGGAGAUGAUUUGACUUUGGCAAAGUUUAGCUACGUCAUCUGGUGUACACUGUCCAAUUCCAUUAUGUAUGUAGUUGCCUCUCAUUGCCCAUUGGUAAUUUGCCACUCCAUUUUAUAAGGUAGACUUUGAACACUAAUAUGUUUUUAAAUUUGACUUGAUACACUAAUAUCUCCGAAUGUACAUUGUUAAAAUUUAAUUCUUCUUUUACUAAAAAUACUGCUUUACAAUAUUA